rnacentral:rRNA from 1 species
GCCAUAAUUCCAAAAGCGGAGGAAAAGAAACCAACAGGGAUUGCCUUAGUAGCGGCGAGUGAGCGGCAAAAGCUGAAAUUUGAAAUCUGGCUCUUUCAGAGUCCGAGUUGUAAUUUGAAGAAGGUAUCUUUGGGCCUGGCUCUUGUCUAUGUUUCUUGGAACAGAACGUCACAGAGGGUGAGAAUCCCGUGCGAUGAGAUGACCCAGGUCCGUGUAAAGUUCCUUCGACGAGUCGAGUUGUUUGGGAAUGCAGCUCUAAGUGGGUGGUAAAUUCCAUCUAAAGCUAAAUAUUGGCGAGAGACCGAUAGCGAACAAGUACAGUGAUGGAAAGAUGAAAAGAACUUUGAAAAGAGAGUGAAAAAGUACGUGAAAUUGUUGAAAGGGAAGGGCUUGAGAUCAGACUUGGCAUUUUGCAUGUUGCUUCUUCGGGGGCGGCCUCUGCGGUUUGUCGGGCCAGCAUCAGUUUGGGCGGUAGGACAAUCGCGCGGGAACGUGGCACGGCCUCGGCUGUGUGUUAUAGCCCGCGUGGAUACUGCCAGCCUAGACUGAGGACUGCGGUUUAUACCUAGGAUGUUGGCAUAAUGAUCUUAGGUCGCCCGUCUUGAAACCACGAAAACCA